rnacentral:lncRNA from 1 species
UCCUGAAAUGGGAGACACAUGAGCAGAGAAGAACUUGACCUGGAGGCUGGAACAAAGCCACCAGAGCUGACCACAAACCUCAAGGAAGACGCUCUUAGAAAUGACCAGAAGCUGGAAACCUCUCUGCCUCCAGAUGGAUCAAGGAUCAGAAACCUUGAUAAGCAGAGUAGCAACCAGAAGGCCCACAGCAUCCUCACUAUUCAGGAGUCAAGAUGAGUCCUGCGAGUAGACUCACCCUUCAAUCAGAUCCAAAGAUAAUGGGCCUGAAUUUCUCUCAGGUUCCUGAAGUUCGAAGUCAAUGCGGGCCCAGGGUAAAGAAGCCUUCAUUGUUGCUUAAACUGAUUGGUCUCAGAAAAGUAUGAAAUCCUGAGAGCCUUCUCUUGGCUACCUUUCACCAUGCUAAAUACCACCAAAGAACGCAAAACAAU